GGUAGGUAUUCGAGUGGCGAACGGGUGAGUAACACGUGGGUGAUCUGCCCUGCACUCUGGGAUAAGCCUGGGAAACUGGGUCUAAUACCGGAUAGGACCAUGCUUUAGUGUGUGUGGUGGAAAGUUUUUCGGUGUAGGAUGAGCCCGCGGCCUAUCAGCUUGUUGGUGGGGUAAUGGCCUACCAAGGCGGCGACGGGUAGCCGGACUGAGAGGUUGGUCGGCCACAUUGGGACUGAGAUACGGCCCAG
rnacentral:rRNA from 1 species